rnacentral:misc_RNA from 1 species
GUUUUUUUCUCGACAAUAGGAGUAGAAGGAAGAGCAGAAGGCUUCUUGAGUUUCUGAAUCUGAGUCUGAGCUUGAGUUUCUUCUUCAUCCUCUUCUUCUUCAGAGGAAGAUCCGUCUCUGGACACGCCUUCCUCUUCCUCACCCGAUGAGGUUUCUUCUUCUUCGGAGGAAGACGCUGCCGGAGGCUCAUCCAACGGUGACGGACGUUUGGGAGCCAUAGUCAGAGACGGAGAUCGGUGUUUGUU